GAUGAACGCUGGCGGCGUGCCUAAUACAUGCAAGUCGAGCGAACAGACGAGGAGCUUGCUCCUCUGACGUUAGCGGCGGACGGGUGAGUAAAACGUGGAGAACCUACCUAUAAGACUGGGAUAACUUCGGGAAACCGGAGCUAAUACCGGAUAAUAUAUUGAAGCGCAUGGUUCAAUAGUGAAAGACGGUUUUGCUGUCACUGAUAGAUGGAUCCGCGCCGCAUUAGCUAGUUGGUAAGGUAACGGCUUACCAAGGCGACGAUGCGUAGCCGACCUGAGAGGGUGAUCGGCCACACUGGAACUGAGACACGGUCCAGACUCCUACGGGAGGCAGCAGUAGGGAAUCUUGCGCAAUGGGCGAAAGCCUGACGGAGCAACGCCGCGUGAGUGAUGAAGGUCUUCGGAUCGUAAAACUCUGUUAGUAGGGAAGAACAAAUGUGUAAGUAACUAUGCACGUCUUGACGGUACCUAAUCAGAAAGCCACGGCUAACUACGUG
rnacentral:rRNA from 1 species